rnacentral:lncRNA from 1 species
CGGGGCCGCCAAGCCCACGCCCACCCGGAACUCCAGCUGGCCCGCAGGCGCAGCGCGCAGCCUGGGUUCACGCUCGCGCCUCUCCCUCCACACCUCCCUGCAAGCUGAGGGAGCCAGCUCCGGCCUAGGCCAGCCCAGGAAGGGGCUCUCACAGUGCAGCGGCGGGCUGAAAGGCUCCUCAAGUGCCGCCAAAGUGGGAGCCCAGGCAGAGGAGGCGCCGAGAGCGACUGAGGGCUGCCAGCAUGCUGUCACCUCUCACUAGUUUAGGAAAAUUCUGUUGACCUAUAAUGAAGUUUACAGAUUUUUCCUCAUAUCUGUCCAGUCUACGGAUUAGAUCUUCAAAGAGAUGAAAUCCCACUAUUUUGCCCAGGCUCAUCUAUAACUUCUGAGCUCAAGACAUCCUCCUGCUUUGACCUUCCAAAGUGCUGGGAUAGGGGUUUUGUGCAAAUAUCUGCUGAGUGAACUACUUAUUUGAAAAUACAUCAUUGGUUAAUAUUCCCUUUUGCUCAUUGAAAUCUCAAAGACUACAGGUGUGGUGCAAUUCCAUUAGAUGAAAGAGAUCUACACAUUCAGAAGCACAUGAUUCUUCCCCCUUCCAUGAUUCCAGUGGCCAAUAGACAAACUACAAUAAAGCCAUGCCCUGACUGGAUGUGCCUAACAUUUGUCUGGUGCUUAAAGGAGUUGGCUGCAUGCGUGGAAAUGUUGGAAAGUCACCAAAAAUAGUUCUCCAAGUCAGAAGCGGUGCAAAAGCUGCCUCAGCUCUUGGUGGAUUUUCAAUUUCUCCCAGCCAUCUCUGUUUCGCUAAAGGUUUCUGAAGACAGUGGAAUGCUGUUGAAGACACCACCUUGAUAAAACAAAAACAUCAGCCAAAUUAAAUUUAAAGGAGUUUAAUUGAGCAAAGAAUUAUUCAUGAAUCAAGCAGUCUUCCAAGCCAGAGUAGGCUCAAAUACUCCAGCACAGCCACGUGGUGGAAGAUUUAUGGACAAAAGAAGAAAAGUAACAUAUAGAAAAUGGAAAUGAGGGGAAGCUUUUUUCUCCUCCCCAUCCUGAUCACUAGUAUGAGAAGGGGUGCUAAUGGACCAGCCUUGGCCUUGCAGAUGAAGAUGAUGAAGGAAGAAGAUGUAUAAAGAACCUCUGAAAGAGUCCCAGUUUUACAUUUCAAAGUCUUUUUCCUUCUGUUGUUUAUUGUGUUGGGUUGGAGUGGAGGAUAUUUGAUGGAGAAUUGAUUCUGAAACUUGCCAAAAUAUGGAUAAUACUUUGCUCCUUUUCCAUUGUGGGUUAUCACAAAGAAGAGUUUCACUUUUAGUCAUCUAUUUACAGGUACGGCAAUAGCUAUUUUCUUUUUCUUUUUUUUAUUUUAGGUUUUAUUUUAGGUACAUGUGAAGGUUUCUUGUAUAGGUAAACUAGUGUCAUGUGGGAUUGUUGCACAGAUUAUUUUAUCAACCAGGUAUUAAGGAAGCUCAGUACCCAAUAGUUAUAUUUUCUGCUCCUCUCCCUCAUCCCACUCUCCACCCUGAGGUCGACCCCAGUGUCUGUUGUUUCCUUCUUUCUGUUAAUGAGUUCUCAUCAUUUAGCUCCCACUUAUAAGUGAGAACAUGUGCUAUGUGUUUUUCUGUUCCUGUGUUAGUUGGCUAAGGAUAAUGGCCUCCAGCUCCAUUUUUGUUUCCCUCUCCAGCAUCUGUUUUUUUUUUUAAUUUUUAGUAAUAUCCAUUCUGACUGGUAUGAGAUGGUAUCUCAUUGUGGUUCUGACUUGCAUUUCUGUAAUGGUCAAUGAUGUUCAGCUUUUCUUUUCAUGUGCUUGUUGCCCACAUGUAUGUUUUGUUUUGAAAAGUGUUUGUUCGUGUCCUUUAUCCACUUUUCAAUGGGGUUGUUUGCUUUUCUCUCGUAAAUUUGUUUAAUUUCCUUAUAGAUGUUAUGACCUAGCAGCUGUACCUUUUUUAAUUUCAAGACAUUCAAUAAACUAAGAACCAACAGCACAGUUGAUGUGUCUUUCCAUGACACCUGCCAUCUUUCCUCUCUUCAUAGCUAUAAGAAUAUUUUGGAAGAAGAGUUGCUGAUAAAUGCCACUUAGGGAAUCUCUGAGCAUCUGUUAUUAUAAAUGGUUGACUAAAAUUUAGGGUAAAGCAUCCUAUUAAAAAUGAAGUUAAGGACUUUAUGUAGAACUUUAAAAUUUGUCCCCCAAAUCCUGUUGUAUGUCAACAUAUUAUAAAAUAAAUUGUAAAUAUCAUAACUCAGCAAAAGAACAUCAUCUAAAACUCAUUAAGAAUUUAAUGUUGAGUAUAUCAGUGACACAAAAUCAUGAGGCAAGAUGGUUUAAAUAUGUUACAAAUAAUAAUAAAUAAUCAUACCCUCUGAGUUUAAAUUCUUUAUCACCCUGUAUGUACUGCCACUCAACACUUGACUUCAGGGCCAUAAUCCUUAGUGAACCCAUCUAACAUCCACCUAAAAUAAAGGUUUGGAGCCACUCUUCUAUGCUUAACAAAUAGCCUUAAGCAUCAUGAAUAAACAGAGACAGGCUAGCUCCUUUUUGCUCUAUAGCCUUAAGUAGUUCUGACCAUGACUAGAAAGACAUAGCUGCAAGCAGCCUGAUCUUUUUUUAACAUCUUGACUUUUUGCAAGGUAUUUCUAAAAUAUGUUACUAAUAUGUACUUCUUGGUUGUUUUACUAAUAUUUGAAAGAACUAAAGUUAUCAUUAGUCACGUUUCAUUUGAAACUACAGAAGCAAUAAAAACAACAAAGUUCCAAUAUAAAAUCCAUUAUUAAAUAGCUUUCAACAUAAUAGAUUAUUUACUACAAAAUAGCAA